rnacentral:rRNA from 1 species
CCAAUAGCGUAUAUUAAAGUUGUUGCAGUUAAAAAGCUCGUAGUUGAAUUUCGGGGUUCUACCGUUGGUCGGGCAAUUGUCUGUACUGGCGUGUGGAAUUUCUACCUUCUGGGGAACCAUCAUGUUAUUAAUUUAGCGUGGUGGGAAACCAGAACCUUUACCUUGAAAAAAUUAGAGUGUUCAAAGCAGGCUUACGUCUGAAUACAUUAGCAUGGAAUAAUAAAAUAGGACGGUGGUCCUGUUUUGUUGGUUUCUGAAUCACCGUAAUGAUUAAUAGGGAUAGUUGGGGGCAGUAGUAUUCAAUUGUCAGAGGUGAAAUUCUUGGAUUUAUUGAAGACUAACUUCUGCGAAAGCAUUUGCCAAGGAUGUUUUCAUUAAUCAAGAACGAAAGUUAGGGGAUCGAAGACGAUCAGAUACCGUCGUAGUCUUAACCAUAAACUAUGCCGACUAGGGAUCGGACGAUGUUAAUUUUUCUUGACUCGUUCGGCGCCUUACG